AGGCGGACUCGCGUUCAGCGGCCACAGGGAGUCAAGGCUGCGGAGCCUAGGGUUUCUUUCUGUUGCUAAGAGCAAAGAACAGCCCUCUUGGUGCUAAGUGCACAGUAAGUGCGAAGAAUAAAUACAUCAUCUCCCGGGCCGGCUCUCUCGGAAAGAUCUCUCAGCCCCCUGCCGUUCGGAGCCAGCCGAGGGUUAUUGAUUAGUGUGGGCGCCCGCGACGCGCUUGCGCCUCCGCUCGUAGGCUGAAAGGGCUUGCUGCCCCGAACGCCGCGGGCCCCUUGCCUAGUGCGGUGCUGGCUCCUCCGAGGGAAACUAACUCGCAGAAACACUCACAACCGCACCGCCGCCGAUUUCCAGGGCUUCAGCCCAACCGGCGGGAGCUGCUAGAGCGGCGCCGCAGAGCCCAGACCUGACGUGAGCGGCGUGUGCGCAUGUGUGCGUGCGUGUGCGUGCGGAGACGGCGCGGGCCGUUAGGCCGGGUUGCUGCGGGAGACUGUGAGGGUCUGGAGCGGGGAAUGGAGGCUGUGUUCGUCCCUUGUAGCUGCCAGUGAAGCCUCUCCUUUUAAAAAUGGCUUAAAGAGCGAAGUGAGGUAAACCUAAGCCCUUCCCCCCCACACACACGCCCCGCGGAGAGCUCUGGUUCCGGGGCAGCGCGUGGGAGUUGGGCGCCCACCGCGUCCGCUGCUGAGGUCUGGCGGCUGCGUCCUGGGGAGCCUGGGCCUCUUUGUGGCUCCUGGGCUCCGCGGCUCAGGCCUCCUCUUCGCCCUCGGCUCGGCGGUUCCGGGACCCUGACCUCGCCAGCCGCGCCGCCCACCGCUUCCUUCCCCGAGGGCGUAAACGCUAAUUCACUCGAGCCUCGGCCAGCUCCCUGGCCCGCGGCCCGCCCGGCCCCGCCCGGCUCCGAAGUUUCGGGGCGGGGGCAGGCGGACUGAGCUCCUCUCCUGAAAUGAUUCCACACGCAUUUGUUUCGGGACCCCGGCCUUGUCCCGGCCUUAACCUCCUCAGCUUUACAACGGGGAUAAUAGUCUUUGCCGGCUCGCCCACCAUGUGGUGGCGGAAUAAUAUAUAUUCCGGCUGGGAGAGACUUGUCAACUAUCCCGCCGGGUGGCAGCUCACAGCCCUCCCAGAUUGGAGGGUGGUGGAGUGAGGGGGUUUCAGGUCCCGGCCUGCGACCUCCCAGUAGAAGGGGCUAGUGGUCGUUUAGUGUCCUAGCCACGCUUCAGGCCAGGACACGUGAUGCCCUUGGGGACUGCCGGGCCGCAUUGUCCCUGAGCCCUGCCUAGAGCAAAGCAGCCUUCCUGGAACCCUGUACUAGGAUCUUGGUCGACCUCACCAUCUCGCCAUGGGCAGCUGCCGCAGCGGGAGACUCCUGGCUGAAGCAGAAACUGAGCGUCACCCAAAACCCAGGUUGAAAGGGGACCCCUCUAGGUUGUCCUGAACUGUCCUGGUCUUAUUGGAAAAUCAAGCCCAGAGAAGAGAUUAGUCUCGGAUGGUCAAACCUCCUGGGAGAGUCUCAAUUGAAGACAUCGCCCAACUUUUUACAAAGCUAUAAAACUAUUUAGAAGAAAAAGCAGCUACAUGGAUGGAGGGAGACAGUUGAGAAAAACAAGAUAUUUUAGCAAUAGAAUUCAAAGGACUAAAGAAUCUGUGUGAUGCUACAGAUGAAAGCUGCACCCAGGUCCUGGACAUUGGGACUGAGAUAAGAAUUCUGAGAACUGGGCUUUCAUCCAAAACCUGCACUCAAGUCAGGAUACUUGGCAACAUGGGUUCAGCUGUCCAACAUGAAUGGCCAGUGAGAGUUCCCAGCAGGGCCAUCUGCUGCUGUUGUCAUGAAGACAAACAAGGCUGCAUGCUCCACACUUCCUAUAUCCAAAUGCAGUUGUACCACUCCUGGCAGCCGAUGGAAGCUAAGAAGUCAGCUCACCUGCUUUGCAAAAGUGGCCUGGCACCCAGGCUGGGCUACAGCUCUUCAUUUUAAUUAUUUUAGUUUUCAUAGAAAAUCUGUACAGGCCUGCUAAUUCAGUGGCUUUCAAACAUUUGGAGACACAACCCACAGAAAAAAAGCAAAAAUACAGAAAUGUAUUUGAUACAUACCUAAAAACUAACAUAUAACUUGUACAAAAUUUUCAUGAAAUGACACUUAGCCUUAUUCUAUGUGAUGCCCUCAAAAAAUAUUUUCAUUUUUGAUAUCAUAACCCAUGAUAGAUUGUGGCCUACAGUUUGAUAAGCAUUGUUCACAUUAUUUUAACUGGAUUAGGCAUUUGUUUUUAUUUCAUUUUCUCUUCUCAAAGAGAAUGUAUAUCCUGUAAGGGCAAGGACAUUGCACAAGAGUGUCCUUGUAUUAAAUAAGGCAAAUUAUGGCAGCUAGUAACUAGAGGCAUUUCUUUUUCAUCAUUAUUACUGUGGUACCACAAAAGGGUAGCCUUCAUCAUUUUAAGGUCACUUACAUGUCAUUCAUAUCCUGGAAUCAUACCUGAAAUUUACAGAGUUAAAAGACUUAUAGCCAGAAGUCAGGUUUUACUUCUAGGAAACAGGUAGUAAUGAAGCUUCUCACCAUUUCUGAUAUUUUCUCUCAUUCCUACUCAGUCAUGUUUGUCGAACUUAAGGUUAUAGAAAUUUCCCAAGGGCUAGGCAUUUAUUAGCAUAUAAAUCUAUUUUGACCCAGAGGGAUGGUACGGGGAGGGAGGUGGGAGGGGACUUCAGGAUGGGGAACACGAGUACACCCGUGGCGGAUUCAUGUCUAUGUAUGGCAAAACCAAUACAAUAUUGUAAAGUAAUUAGCCUCCAAUUAAAAUAAAUAAAUUUAUAUUAAAAAAACAAAACUUAAUUUCUAUAUAUAGUUUGUUGACUGAAUUGUAUCAUAUCUUUUUCAUGCUUUAUACACUAUAUAUUUUUAAGGAAACUUGAAACAGUCACUUAUUUUUAAUGAUGAUUAUCAUUGUUGGUGUGUACUUUUAUGAUACAGUUAUAUAAAUUCAGUAAGUUUUAAGCACCUCCCAAUAUUUUUUCAUAAAUCUUAACUAUGAAUUUCUCAAGUGUUUUAUAGGCAGGUAGCACAGGGCUCCACAUGUACAAAUUCCUUGCAUAAUGUCAGACUAGGCAUAGGAGAAAAAUAUCCAGGAUUUCAGAUUUAUAAUAAAUUCUGUAAGCAAAUAAGCCUAUUUUAUAUUAAGGUGCUUGAUAAGGAUUUGAAUUAAAUAUAUUAUAAUUUAAGCUUUUCAGUGUUGUGAGAAUGUGAGUGGCCAUAACAUGGUACUAACAAGAGAAAAUACACAGCAGUCCUCCAUAGACUGUUCCACAGCAACAGACUUUAUUUGUUUUCUUAAUUCACCCAUCAUUCAUUCAUUCUUUCAUUAGGUUGUCCAUAAACAUAUGUCAAGUGUUAGCCUUGUUGGUUGGCACUUGGCAAAAAAAAAAAAAAAAAAAUUGGUCAAAGGCAUCUAAAGAUAUGCAAGACAUGGUCUUGAUCCUUAAGGAACUUGUAAGUCUACAAAGUCAUGAAUCACUGUGAUAACAAUUGCCAGUUGGUGGUACAGCCAUUUCUGUGCUUUGUGUGUCAGGAAUCAAAUAACCAGCUUAAUAAAGUCAAAUGGUUGUGGAAAAGACUAGGAAGAUUCUGAAACCUCUUUGAAAAAAUAAGGAACCUUUGAAGGGAAAAUUGCAACAAGCUUCCAAACAGAACAAUUAGUCUAUACAAAUUUAAUUUCUCUAGUAUAAAUGGUGAUACCCAAGAUGUAUACCCAACAUCCAUAGGUAGAAUGUGGGAUGCAUAGAAUAAGAAUGGAGAGCUAGGGUGAAUAUUAUACUAGAAGCCUUCAAAUGAGAAUGGAAAUCCUUUGUCUUGAAGUAGUUGUUAAAUAUCCAUGAAUUUUUAAAUGUUUGAAUUAAAGUCAGGUAGUAAAUGCAGAUGAUAGUCUUGCCACAAUUAAUCUUAACUGUAAGUCUGCAUGAGAGGAGUAGAUGUUAAAUCUAUAUUGAUAGAUGGCUUUGACCAAUGAGAAUGCAUAGAUAUUGAAAGAAAUUUGGAGAGAAGGACAUUGGGAAACACAAGAGAAAACUGGAUUCCAGUUCAACUCACAGGUUCUAAUGACAUCAACUGUGGAGAAUGAAAUGCUGAGAAACAAGCAUUUCUAGAGAAGUGUACUCAGGUUCAACCGUUAAAACAAACUUCAUUCUACCAAUUGCUCAUAAGGCAUAGAAAACAAGAAAACAGAUAAAGGCCUUCUGAAAUUUCUUGUAAAGUUGCCAUCUGGUUUCUCUGACAAUCUCAACAUGACGAUGAAAAGAGAGAAAGAGAAAAGAGUCACACAGAUACUACUAGAAUGAUGCUGACCCAAGUGGAGGACUGGUUCGCUGACCCAAGUGGAGGACUGGUUCACUGACCCAAGUCAGUGAACUUGGAUCCUACAGUGAACUUGACCCACUGACCCUCAAAUAGCUGACCCAAGGUAGUGUGUUAACUCAAGUCUCCCAUGGAGAAAUGGAGCUUGACUAUCUGACACAUUUAUAAUAUGCAAUUCUGUCUUUUUUUUUUUGCUGAGAGAAACUCAUGAAAUCCAAUGCAAAGCUCAGAAAUAGUGACUUACUUUAGCUUAAAGCUUAAUAUCAAUACCAUGGAGAGUUAUUAAAGAACAACCAUCUUCCAAAGAUAACAAGUGGAUAACUCAAAAACUAAAUUCAAAUACCUAAACAAUAUAAAAAGUCAAAUUUUGUAGUAAUAAAUAAACAGGAAGUUAUUCUUCAGCUUAAUAGGAUAAGGAUGGUGAUGAUAAGAAGGAGGAGGAGGGAUGGCCAAUUUGAAUGGAGUCAGGGACAUGGUUAGUCAAACUUGCUGAUUGUUGAUGAUCUGUAUCUAAAUGAAAAUGUUUAUUCCCUUUAUUUUAGCAAUUCUGCUUCUAAGAAUUUAUUUAGUACAAGAAUAUAACCAUAGAUGUGCUCAAACAUUGAUGUACAUCUAUCCAUGAUGUAGCAUGGCUUCUAAUGGAAAUAAUACAAAAAUGGGACAGAACAAAUAUCACUUAUCUAGGGCCUGAUUUGGCCUAGUCUGGUACUUUUACAUGCUGAAUACAAGCCACUCCCUCCACAUUAGUCUCAAGGUGCUCCCCAUCUUAUGUCCCCAUCAUCCCUUACCUGAACUAUUGCAAUAGACCCUAGCUAGUCUUGAGAUCUCCACACAUCCUCCUCUGAUACAUUCUUCAAUAGCAGCAACAUUGAUUUUAAACUAUAAAUAAAAUCAUGUCAUUCCACUGAGGAAAAUCAUCCGAGGACUUUCCAUUGUGCUUGAAAUCUAAACUUGUACAUCGACUUCAAAGUCCCUGCCUGAAAUGGCCCCAAAUACUCUUGCUUGUGUUGUAUGCAUCCUUUGUUGUUUGGUUUUUGUUUUAUACUGAAGUAUAAUUUACACAGAGUGAAUGACACAGAUACAAGUGUAUAAUGUGAUGAGUUUGACAAAUGUAUUUACCCAUGUAACAUACACCCGUAUCAUGAUAUAAAACAUUUCCAUUACCCCAGAAAAAUACUCUUUUCAGUUAAUCCCUGUCCUACUCCCUAAUUUAGGGACUAUCAUUUUGAUUUCUAUCAUCAAAAAUGAGUUUUGCUUGUUCUAGGAUUUCACGUAAAUGGAAGCAUAUGGUCUCACCUCUUUUUAUCUGGAUUCUUUUACACCAUGCAGUGAUUUUUGAGAUCUAUGUUGUUGCCUGUGUCAGGAUUCCUCUUUAUUGCUCAGUGGUAGUUCAUUGUAUACCCCAGGUUUUAACCUCCAGCCUACCUUUAACCACAUUUUAUGAUAUUCUUCUCUGUACUCACUAAACUCCAGCCAUAUUGAUAUUUGGUUCCUUGGACAUGCUUUUGUUUAUCUUCAGGAUUUUUGCAACUGGUGUUCCCUCUGCAUAGAAUGCUCUUCCCUCAUUCUUUGCAUGACUGGUUUCUUAUCAUUUUAGGUCCCAGCUAAAAUAACACCCUCCCCCGCCCCUGAAAAACCUUCU